UACGGGGGGGGGUAAGCGUUGUUCGGAAUUACUGGGCGUAAAGGGCUCGUAGGCGGCCAACUAAGUCGGACGUGAAAUCCCUCAGCUUAACUGGGGAACUGCGUCCGAUACUGGAUGGCUUGGAUUUGGGAGAGGGAUGCGGAAUUCCAGGUGUAGCGGUGAAAUGCGUAGAUAUCUGGAGGAACACCGGUGGCGAAGGCGGCAUCCUGGACCAAUAUUGACGCUGAGGAGCGAAAGCCCAGGGGAGCAAACGGG
rnacentral:rRNA from 1 species